AAGUCCAAACCAGAUCAACUGUGAAUUUGCAUUGGCGCUGGCCACACGGCUUAUCUGUCAGCGAACUCUCACAGGCACAGAAAUAAACACCAAAGAAGGGCGAGCGAGAGAGAGAGAGAGAGAGAGAGAGAGAGAUGGGGAGUACGAUGCUCCCAAGAGGAGUAUUGUGGUCGCAUUCAAUGCCUUCAUGUGCCAAACCACCAAAACCACCCGCCUCUUGUUUGUUUCUCUUGCAUUCUCUAUCCAAGAAGCACAGCUUUAACUUUUCUCCUCGCAACCCAGGUCUCAAAGUUUGGAGGUCUUCAAGGCAAAGGCAUGGAUCCCCACCUGAAAAGUGGCUUGGCCUUUGUUCAUCUACAGAAUCUUACGUUAGGGGUGACCUUGAUCCUAAGUACCUUGCUUGCAUGAAUCAUGAAGCAACCAUAGAGACCAUGCACAACCUGGAUGUUCUGCGUACUCCAGAUGUGUCUCUGCCAGAGAGGGACUCAUUACGAAAAUAUAACAAGCCCUCUGAUACCUGGCCUUCUGAGACUUCUCCUGCUGAUUUCACUGAUUUUCUGAAGUUUAUGCUGCUCUUUGGGUUGCUAACAUUUCAAGGCUCUCAACCAGCGCUUGCUAGCUUGGAUAUUUCUAGUAACUUACAGUCAAUUCCUUACCUUGGGGAGUUUGGUGACAUUACCACAGGUUUUGCUUCAGCAUUCUUGCUGAUCUUUUUCUCAGAACUGGGUGACAAGACAUUUUUCAUCGCGGCGCUUUUAGCAGCUAGGAAUUCUGCAUCAGUGGUUUUCUUUGGGACUUUUGGCGCACUUGCGGCAAUGACACUCAUAUCUGUUGCUCUUGGGCGAACUUUUCACUACGUUGAUGAAAUCCUUCCAUUCAGAUUUGGUGAGAUGGAUUUGCCUAUUGAUGAUAUUGCUGCAGUUUUUCUUUUGGUAUAUUUUGGGGUUUCAACACUGCUUGAUGCCACUUCAAGCAAUGGUUUAAAAGCAGAAGAUGAACAAAAGGAGGUGAAAUUCCAAUUUCAUCGAAUAAUAUGGCGGAGCUUGCAGUUUCAGAGUUUUCAGAAAAUGGUACAGGGAUUCUUGCUGCUGCUAGCACUGUCAUUAGCACCUUCCUCCUAGUGUUUGUUGCUGAAUGGGGUGACAAGUCAUUUUUCUCUACAAUUGCACUUGCAGCAGCAUCUUCGCCUCUUGGAGUUAUUGGUGGAGCACUAGCUGGUCAUGGUGUUGCAACCUUGCUUGCUGUUUUGGGAGGUUCUUUACUUGGGACAUUCUUAUCAGAGAAGGUAAUUGCCUAUGUUGGAGGUGUUCUUUUUCUGGUGUUCGCUGUUGCGACAUUAGUCGAGAUCGUUAGUAAGUAAUUACAACCUCACGAGUGAAAGAUUUGUGCAUUUGAUCACACAUUUUAUGGUCUGUAAGAUUUCUAAAUCGAGGAAAUGCAGAGCAGAACCCACU